rnacentral:rRNA from 1 species
GAUGAACGCUGGCGGCGUGCCUAAUACAUGCAAGUCGAGCGAACAGACGAGGAGCUUGCUCCUCUGACGUUAGCGGCGGACGGGUGAGUAACACGUGGAUAACCUACCUAUAAGACUGGGAUAACAUCGGGAAACCGGAGCUAAUACCGGAUAAUAUAUUGAACCGCAUGGUUCAAUAGUGAAAGACGGUUUUGCUGUCACUUAUAGAUGGAUCCGCGCCGCAUUAGCUAGUUGGUAAGGUAACGGCUUACCAAGGCAACGAUGCGUAGCCGACCUGAGAGGGUGAUCGGCCACCCUGGAACUGAGACACGGUCCAGACUCCUACGGGAGGCAGCAGUAGGGAAUCUUCCGCAAUGGGCGAAAGCCUGACGGAGCAACGCCGCGUGAGUGAUGAAGGUCUUCGGAUCGUAAAACUCUGUUAUUAGGGAAGAACAAAUGUGUAAGUAACUAUGCACGUCUUGACGGUACCUAAUCAGAAAGCCACGGCUAACUACGUG